rnacentral:rRNA from 1 species
UACGGAGGGAGCUAGCGUUGUUCGGAAUUACUGGGCGUAAAGCGCACGUAGGCGGAUCAGUCAGUUAGAGGUGAAAGCCCAGGGCUCAACCCUGGAACCGCCUUUAAUACUGCUGGUCUGGAGUCCGAGAGAGGUGAGUGGAAUUCCGAGUGUAGAGGUGAAAUUCGUAGAUAUUCGGAGGAACACCAGUGGCGAAGGCGGCUCACUGGCUCGGUACUGACGCUGAGGUGCGAAAGCGUGGGGAGCAAACAGG